AUGUCCACCAUAUCUUGUUCUGGCUAGAGAAAGUAGAUGAACCAUCCAUACAGUUGAGAUGUCUUCCCACUCGGAUGGAAUUGGUCACCAGAGCACGGACAGGAAUAUUGACUUCUUUGUGGAGGAUGUCGACCAUAUCUUGUUCUGGCUAGAGAAAGUAGAUGAACCAUCCAUACAGUUGAGAUGUCUUCCCACUCGGAUGGAAUUGGUCACCAGAGCACGGACAGGAAUAUUGACUUCUUUGUGGAGGAUGUCGACCAUACCUUGUUCUGGCUAGAGAAAGUAGAUGGACCAUCCAUACAGUUGAGAUGUAUUCCCACUCUGAUGGAAUUGGUCACCAUCACAGGAGCAUGGACAGGAACUUUGACUUCUUCUUUGUGGAGGAUGUGCACCAUAUCUUGUUCUUGCUACGGGAGGUAGAUGAACCAUUCAUACAGUAGAGAUGUCUUCCCACUCUGAUGUAAUUGGUCACCAGGAGCCUGGACAGGAAUAUUGACUUCUUCUUUAUGGAGUCCAAACAAUCACAGCAAUGUUUAGCAUCUCCAAAGACAUCUAUCCAUCACCAAGUAGAGGUCCAAGACCAGCCUUAGAUAGAGGAUCUGCAGUCUCCAGUUAAAGAAAGGCUCAUCAUCUCCAAAGACAUCUACCCAUCA